ensembl:scaRNA
GUGCUCACUAAAACUUUGUCCCUUCCAUGUGGUUGUGACAGUUAAUAAGUGAGCUAGAUUAAUUAGUAUUGAAUUGGGGGUGUCAUAUACCAGCUCAUAUGAUACACCACAGUUUUCAAUACAACA